GCCUGCUUCCAUAUCGUAAACUGCCUUGGAACCAAUUACCACUACCAGGGAGACAAACUAUUGCUUAGAGGAUGCUGACAGGAGCAGCAUGCCAAAAUUGGAAGAAGGAGAAAGUUUAAGCUCUCCUCACUAUGAGUUUUCAAGUAUAAAAGACUUUUUCUUCCACGAUUUUGAGAACAACUGAGGACUCUUGUGACCAGGACAACAGGGAAGCUUGCAGCAAGAUAGCUCCAGGUUGGAUUCAUGCUUCGCACCCCAAGGGCUGCCAGCCAGAGAGGAGGAGAAGCAAUCACUCCUGCAGUUUCUGAACACUACACAGACGCCAGGUAGCUUCUUCAGGAGAACAGCCCUCUGAGGAGGCAGGAAGAGGAGGCUUAUCUUUCAGCAGCCGGAGCUGCUGAGAUCUCUGGGCAGAUUAAGCUCUCUCUAAUGGAUGGGCUCCAGCCUGGCACAUUCAGUGGAGAGGGAUCCACUCAUCCAUCAUCAACAUAAUAUGGUCCUCCCUGCACUUCACAGUGUCCUCUUGCUAUUGAAAAGGCUUUUUUGCCUUCUCAAGUUUCUUUGUCAACAGUCUACAGGAAGAAGCUCAGGCCGCCACCGGCAGAGGUGAAUGCAAGCUCACGUUUUAUUUCUGACUGCUUAAUCAUUGCCUCGAUCACUGCUCAAGCUCUGCCUUUGUUUCCAAAGGUUACCUGUGGGAAAACUUCUUUUUCUAUGCUGAAAUUAAUAGGGAGGCAAAGAUGAGUCCACUGAUAAGCAGAGCCUUAAAACUCACAUAGAGAAACAACUUUGCUGGAGUGUGUGUGAGUGAACCACUAAGGAAUCAGAUAGUGUGAUGGCAGUUAUCAUUGCAGGUUAAGACAUUUCUACAAAUAUUUCGACAUCUCCAUAUACUCACUCCUUUCCCCCCUGAGUGGAGAGACUCAGCUACCAAGAGAGGAAGCUCAAAAAAAACAGAAGCUUCAAACAAACAACCAACCAAAAAAAAAAAAAAACUGUGGGUUCAUCAGAGGUGGUAGGGAAGACAAAAACAUGGGAGGAGCAGCUGGGCACGGUGGCUCAAGCCUGUAAUCCCAGCACUUUGCGAGGCUGAGGUGGGUGGAUCACCUGAGGUCAGGAGUUCGAGACCAGCCUGGCCAACAUGGUGAAACCCCAUCUCUACUAAAAAUACAAAAAAUUAGCCGGGCGUUGUGGUACGCACCUGUAAUCCCAGCUACUCCGGAGGCUGAGGCAGCAGAAUCGCUUGAACCCAGGAGGCAGAGGUUGCAACGAGCCAAGAUCGCACCAUUGCACUCCAGCCUGGGCAACAAGAGCGAAACUCCAUCUAAAAAAAACAAACAAGCAAACAAACAAAAAACACGGGAGGAGCAAUAAAAAGGAAUCCAUGCUUUGAUUUUUUUUUUUAGUGAGAGGAAGGGAAGGCUGCUGCCUCUCACUUCUCCCUGUUUUGUUGUUCUUUUAAGUAGCAUGUGUCACUCUGUAUAUAUCCUGUCCAUGUGUUUUCUUUUAUUAUUAUUUGUCCACUUGCCUAGAAUGAAAA
rnacentral:lncRNA from 1 species